rnacentral:rRNA from 1 species
ACUCCGGUUGAUCCUGCCGGACCCGACUGCUAUCAGAGUGGGACUAAGCCAUGCGAGUCAACGUAGAAAUACGUGGCAUACGGCUCAGUAACACGUAGUCAACAUGCCCAGGGGACGUGGAUAACCUCGGGAAACUGAGGAUAAACCGCGAUAGGCCAUGAUUUCUGGAAUGGUUCAUGGCCGAAAUCUAUAUGGCCCCUGGAUUGGACUGCGGCCGAUCAGGCUGUUGGUGAGGUAAUGGCCCACCAAACCUGUAACCGGUACGGGCUCUGAGAGGAGGAGCCCGGAGAUGGGCACUGAGACAAGGGC